rnacentral:miRNA from 1 species
GUGGGUGGGCUCAUAGUCGGAUA